GAGGGUAUAGCUCAGUGGUAGAGCACAAGCCUAGGAUGCAAGAGGUCCUGGGCUCAAUCCCUAGCACCUCCA
rnacentral:tRNA from 1 species